rnacentral:SRP_RNA from 1 species
CUCAUGGCCCUGCCAACGCUGGCCCGCGAACCCCGCCAGGCCCGGAAGGGAGCAACGGUAGUGGUGCCCAGCGUGUGGCGGGGCCUUCCUUUU